AUAUGCGGACCGGGCGGUUCUUUUUUUUCUUGGGUUUAUAUAGGGUCCCUCCUAGAUGAAUCAAUUGGGGUACAGUCGGGGGCCAAUCAUUAAUCCACUGGUAGAGAGUGAAAUUUCUUGGAUUCAGUUGAAGACUUAACUCCUGUGAAAGCCAUCUGCCCAAAGGAUGUUUUCAUUUAAUCAGAGACGAAAAGUUAGGUGGAUUGAUAGGCGCUCAGAUACCCGUUCGUAGUCUUUAACCCAUAAACUAUGGCGAGCUAGGGAUCGGGACGGUGUUACUCAUGGACCCGUCCGGCACCCUACGAGAUAUCAAAGUGCUUGGGCUCCAGGGGGGAGUAUGUUCGCAAAGGCUGAAACUUAAAGAAAAUUGACGGAAAGGGCCCCUCCAGGGGUGGAGCCUGCGAGCUUUAAUUUGACUCAGCACGGGGAAACUCACCAGGUCCAGACACAAUAAGGAUUGACAGAUUGAGAGCUCUUUCUUGAUUUAGUGGGUGGUGGUGCAUGGCCGUUCUUAGUUGGUGGGGUGACUUGUCUGCUUAAUUGCGAUAACGAACGAGACCUCAACCUGCUAAAUAGCCCGCAUUGCUCCGGCAGUGCGCUGGCUUCUUAGAGGGACUUUCGGCUCAAGCCGAAGGAAGUUUGAGGCAAUAACAGGUCUGUGAUGCCAUUAGAUGUUCUGGGCCGCACGCGCGCUACACUGACGGGGUCAGCGAGUUCCUUGGCCGAAAGGCCCGGGUAAUCUUGUUAGCCCCCGUCGUGCUGGGGAUAGAGCAUUGCAAUUAUUGCUCUUCAACGAGGAAUCCCUAGUAAGCGCAAGUCAUCAGCUUGCGUUGAUUACGUCCCUGCCCUUUGCUAAGCGCCGCCCGUC
rnacentral:rRNA from 1 species